CGCCCCGCGCGCCGGGACAGCCGUCGGGGGAGCGCCGCCGCCGCCACCGCCUCCGCGCGCCCUUCCCGGCGGCCCUCGCGCCGCCCGCGCCGCCGCCGAGGAUGACGACGAUGACGACAGCGAUCCAGAAAAAAACCAGGAGCAAUGAAAAACAUGGAGUCAGGAGGAGCAGUAGCAGCAGACCCAGGAGUAGGUGAUGCAUCGCAGCCAGUGGAUUGCUGGUAUGAAGCUGUGCCAUGUCUGGAGCAGAAAUCUGACAAAAGAGAGAUUGCAUUCAAAUGUCACCACUAUAAAGGGUACCACAUAAAAUGGAAGUAACCAAGAUGGAAGAAGAAGCAUCUGUCUUGUAAGGAGAGCUCAGUCUGAUCCUGAGCCAGGAUGCAGCCAUUGGUUACGUCUGCAUACAGUCAGAGCUGUUCAGGCUGCUUGCAAAGAGCCAACACAGGCACCAAGCCUACAGCAAGAGCUGAGGUCAGAUGUUCACAACAAAAACAGCUUACUUCUGUCAUUGAAUGGUAGUUUUCGUAGUAUGAGGAAGAUCCACGAGCAUUGACUGUGUCAUUGACAGUCUGUUGUUCAAUAAUUCCCUGAACAUCUCUCAUCAAGACUCUGAAUAACAAAGGAAGAGCACAACCUCCUGUUAAAUAAAUGACAAACAACUUUACGGAAUCAUUCAUGACAACAAAUAAAAAAUACAUACUUGUGUUGGAUGGUCAGUUGCCUUAACUGAGCUUUUAUGCUAUUUAUGCUGGAUGCCCUGACAUAGAAAUGGACUUCUCUGUCCUUCUGGAUGUUUUCAACCACAACAGGUUGCCAGAGAAUGACCUACAAAGUUUCCAAAAACAUUUUAUUUAUUUUACUGAGGAAAGAAAAAAUAUUCUUACUAACAUUUAAUAAGCAUUUUGAAAAUAAUCAAAGCACAUGUUUUCAAUUUAAGAGACCGCUUGUAACAAGUAGUUUAAUGCUCCUUGUGAUGUGUAGCAUUCUGCUACUUCUGGAAGUGAAAUGUGUGUAUUUAAGAAAGGUUUAUAAUGACUUCUGCACAGAAAUUCAUAAAUCAAGAACAAAGACAAGAACAUAACCUUUUCUGAGAUAGUAUUUCUAGUAUAAUAGAUAUAUUUAGCUGGUUAUUAUGUUACAUGUUUUCAAGUCUGCUGAGAGUUAUUUUCCCUGAGGGCUCUUGGAGAAUUAAUGAAGAUCAGACCAGUCUUUGUAGUUAUUGUAUUCUCUGAUGACUUUGAUCAGGGAGGAAAUAAGUGCCAGAAGGGGUUUGAGUAUAAGUCAAGUUGAAGAAGCAAUACAGAGAUUAGAAAUUGGAGAAAAGUAAGAAAAUGAGAUUGUUCUUGGUAAAAUUAAAUAUAUUGCAAUAAUAAAAUAAAAAGCCAGCAUAUUCAAUCAAAGACUGAAGCUUCAGAACCAAUAAUACAGAAAGAUCUGGGGGUGACAGUUAGCAGUAAAUUAGGCAUAAAUUUAGAGUGUGAAAAAAGUCAGCAUAAUUCUUGGAUUAUUUUUAGGGCAUACAGCAUGAAGUCACCAGACAAUAGGGUUUAUUUUUUUCCUUUACGGUUCAGUUGCACAAGGAAUAUUGUUUGAACAAUAAAUGGUAACCAUUAAAAUUGGUUGGGAGGUACUGCUUGUGUUUACCCUUCCCCUUUUCUCUUUCCCUUUUCCCUUUCCCUUUCCCUUUCCCUUUCCCUUUCCCUUUCCCUUUCCCUUUCCCUUUCCCUUUCCCUUUCCCUUUCCCUUUCCCUUUCCCGUUGCUAUUCCUGUUCUGUUUUUUUCUUAUAGCUUUUAUCUUCUAGAUGCUACCUUUAAAAAAUACCACGAAAACCAAGUCCUGAUCUUCAAAGGUGUGCAAACCAUAUACAGGUCAUGAUCACACUGGUCAAAAGUGCUGAGGUUCCCUAGCAAAUGUAUUUUUACUCUACUGUGUGUUGGUGUUUUCCCAGUUUUGCAGUGCCUUAAUACACAAAAUCAACUGGAGAAAUAUGAGCUCCAAUGUAAUUAAUUACUGAAACAUUAUGUAAACACAUGUAAAUCAGAUGGUUGUGAGAAAUUAAAACCAAGC